rnacentral:rRNA from 1 species
CCUACGGGGGGCUGCAGUGGGGAAUAUUGGACAAUGGGGGGAACCCUGAUCCAGCCAUGCCGCGUGUGUGAAGAAGGCCCUCGGGUUGUAAAGCACUUUCAGUGAGGAAGAACGCCUGGUGGUUAAUACCCAUCAGGAAAGACAUCACUCACAGAAGAAGCACCGGCUAACUCCGUGCCAGCAGCCGCGGUAAUACGGAGGGUGCGAGCGUUAAUCGGAAUUACUGGGCGUAAAGCGCGCGUAGGUGGCUUGAUAAGCCGGUUGUGAAAGCCCCGGGCUCAACCUGGGAACGGCAUCCGGAACUGUCAAGCUAGAGUGCAGGAGAGGAAGGUAGAAUUCCCGGUGUAGCGGUGAAAUGCGUAGAGAUCGGGAGGAAUACCAGUGGCGAAGGCGGCCUUCUGGACUGACACUGACAAUGAGGUGCGAAAGCGUGGGUAGCAAACAGGAUUAGAUACCCCUGUAGUC